AGUAACACGUAGGUAACCUGCCCUGCAGUGGGGGAUACCCAGUCGAAAGACUGGCUAAUACCGCAUUCGCUCGUUAGUUGAAAUACUAACGAGGAAAGAUUUAUCGCUGGAGGAGGGGCCUGGGUCCGAUUAGCUAGUUGGUGAGGUAAUGGCUCACCAAGGCGACGAUCGGUAGCUGGUCUGAGAGGACGAUCAGCCACACUGGAACUGAGACACGGUCCAG
rnacentral:rRNA from 1 species